GAUCCUGGCUCAGGAUGAACGCUGGCGGCGUGCCUAACACAUGCAAGUCGAGCGAGAAACUUUUAAAUGAAACUUCGGUCGAAUUUAAAAGCGGAAAGCGGCGGACGGGUGAGUAACGCGUAGGCAACCUGCCCUUUGCAGAGGGAUAGCAUCUGGAAACGGAUAUUAAUACCUCAUAAUACUAAACUAUCACAUGAUAGAGUAGUCAAAGAUUUAUCGGCAAAGGAUGGGCCUGCGUCUGAUUAG
rnacentral:rRNA from 1 species